UCCCAUGUGAUAUAUAAUAUGGCGAAACACAAUAUCCAUAUCAAUUGCCAUUGCAAAGUCUAUGACAUCUGGGCUGAAUCAAGGAGAGUUGGCUUCAAAGUUAAAUUUCAAUUAUUUUAUUUUUGAUAAAAUCACAUAUACCAAGGUAAAAGUUCUUAUAUUUCAAAUUUAUAUAAAAAAAAUUCUUAUUACCUUUUAAAACCUAAUUAAUCAAAAUUCAGAUGCCAUAUCAAUAUCAGAUGAUGUUUAGAUAUUAGUAAUAAAUAUUUGCUCAACAUCAAAGGAAACAAUAUUUAUUAAAAUCUUCAAUUAUUUUAUUUUUGAUGUGUAAACUUUCAUUAGAGCCUAUGACAUCUGGACUGAAUCAAGGAGAGUUGGCUUCAAAGUUAAAUUUCGAUUAUUUUAUUUUUGAUAAGAUCACAAAUACCAAGAAAUACUAAGUUAUCAAUUCUGAUUUGCCAGACAGGACAACACUAAGCCCGACUGCUAUUAAUAAUGUUUACCUAUCAAUGAAAACACAUGUACAAUAAGAAAUUAACUCAAAGGCCAAAAUUUUGAUCAAUUACAUUCUAUAUGUGUAGAUAAUUUUGAAAUGAUUUACUUUAUUUUAGCAACUCAUUAUAUAACCCCAAAACACACAGGUGAAACUAUUCCAAUUGAGAUUGAUAAAAUAGAAGAGGAAUUUAAUUUAAAAAAGAAAAAAUACAAAUGGUCACUGAUGCUGGGUCUAAUGUUAGAAAGGGUGUUUGAUUAGGUGAAUAUGAACAUCGCUUAUGUUUGGGUCAUGGUUUACACAAUCUGGUUACAGUAGAUGGUAUUAAAAAGGUACCCUUAUUUGAAAAUCUCAUCAAAAUAAUUAUAGGAAUUAUUACUGUUCUAAUAUAUAAAACUACAAUAGUUGAAUUUGAAUUCGAGGCAGAUCAAAGAAAAUGCCUAAGUAUAAUAGAUUUAACAUCAGACAUGUUAGAUCAUGAUAGCACUGAUCCAUAUCCAGAUACCUGAUUUUAAAUUGGCAAUUCCAUUGAUAAUGAUAACAAUAUUUCCACGCAAAACCUUAAAAUUGAACGUCCCAACACGUUGGCAUAGUAUAUUAAUUAUGCUAGAAACCAUAUGUGGAUUAAAUAAGAAUAUAAUUAAUAAUGUUUUGAAAAGAAUUGGGAAACUCUCAAAUUAUCAAACUAUUAAUCUGAUCUGGUAGAAGAACUUUUAGCAUUUUUUUUAAAAAUUAAAGAAACUGUCGAAUUUCUAUCAGUACAAGGGCCUAUGUUAAACUUGGCGUUACUUUUUAGAGGUGAAAUUGAAACACAUUUAAUAGUAAAUGACAGUGAUAGUUCUGAAAUCAUUUCACUUAAGGAAAAUAUGCUAAAAAAAACUUGCGCUACGAUUUCCGGUUUGUGAUUUUCAAGUAUUGGCUUCUCCUCCUUUAGAUCUAAGAUUUCAAAAAUUGACAAUUGUGUCAUAGUAUAUAGUAGAACAAGAUUGCUGAGCUUCAGAAUUUAUAAUAAAACAUCUUAAACUUAUAUAGAAUGAUGAUAUUCAGAUAGUAAAUAUAACUAUUGAGGAUCGAGAGGAAUUAUUAAAUUCAAGUUGACAAAAUUGGCAAAUAAACAUUCAACAAAUAUAAAUUAUGAUUCCACGUUAGGUGACUUAGAACAAGAAUACCAUAUUCUUCUUUGAAGACGACAUUCACAAGAUAUGGAUGUUCUAAAUUUUUGGAGAGAAAAGAAGAGUGAACCAAUCUUUCCAGCUCGCCAAAAAAAUUCUUUGUAUUCCGGCUACUAGCAUACCCAGUGAAAAAAUUUUGUCUACCGCUGGAUUGACGUUGAAUUCAAGGAGAUCCAAAAAUUUAAAUAAAAUCAUUUUUAUAUAUGAUAAUUAUAAAAUUACGAAAUCGAUUUUGGAUUUAU